AUUCUUUUAUCCAUUUUAUUGGCUGUUCCGUCGAUUGUGUUUAUGCUCAUAAGCUUUGUGAACGUGAACGUAAAAAAAUAAAUCUAUAGAUAAAUUAUCAUUUUCCUAAAUUGGAGAUUCUGACCUUAAGAUCUGCCAAUUGUUCAAUGUGAAACAUCCCAACUUACAACAUUCUUACAGGGCGUUGAUACUUUUCAAUUCGGAAGGGGAAAUUAUUCUAUACAACAUUCUCACUGUCAAUCAUGUAAUGGUUUUGAUAAAUGUUUUGGAUUUUAUUCGUGCUCAAAAAAUUUCACAUUGAAAAAAUUUUUUAUUUAUAUUUCAAUCAUGAAAAUUGAUUGAUUACAUUUGAUUGUUGAAAAUGUUCAUGAAUU